GGCAUAGCAUAGUGGUAGCGUGCGUGUGUGUAGUGUAGGUGAUCGUGGGUUCGAUCCCCCCUUGCCG
rnacentral:tRNA from 1 species